rnacentral:rRNA from 1 species
AGCAUAUCAAUAAGCGGAGGAAAAGAAACUAACAAGGAUUCCCCUAGUAACUGCGAGUGAAGCGGGAAAAGCUCAAAUUUAAAAUCUGGCAGUCUUUGAUUGUCCGAGUUGUAGUCUGGAGAAGCGUCUUCCGCGCUGGACCGUGCACAAGUCUCCUGGAACGGAGCGUCAUAGAGGGUGAGAAUCCCGUCUUUGGCACGGACUACCAGUGCUUUGUGAUGCGCUCUCAACGAGUCGAGUUGUUUGGGAAUGCAGCUCAAAAUGGGUGGUAUACUCCAUCUAAAGCUAAAUAUUGGCGAGAGACCGAUAGCGAACAAGUACCGUGAGGGAAAGAUGAAAAGCACUUUGGAAAGAGAGUUAAACAGUACGUGAAAUUGCUGAAAGGGAAACGCUUGAAGUCAGUCGCGUUUGCUAGAACUCAGCCUUACUUCGGUUUGGUGCAUUUUCUAGUAGACGGGCCAGCAUCACUUUUGGCUGCGGGAUAAAGGUCUCAGGAAUGUGGCACCUUCGGGUGUGUUAUAGCCUGGGAUUGUAUACCGUGGCUGGGAGUGAGGACCGCAGCACGCCUUUAUGGCCGGGGUUCGCCCACGUUCGUGCUUAGGAUGCUGGCGUAAUGGCUUUAAACGACCCGUCUUGAAACACGGACCAAGGAGUCUAACAUGCCUGCGAGUGUUUGGGUGGAAAACCCGAGCGCGUAAUGAAAGUGAAAGUUGGGAUCUCUGUCGUGGAGAGCACCGACGCCCGGACCAGACCUUCUGUGACGGAUCCGCGGUAGAGCAUGUAUGUUGGGACCCGAAAGAUGGUGAACUAUGCCUGAAUAGGGUGAAGCCAGAGGAAACUCUGGUGGAGGCUCGUAGCGAUUCUGACGUGCAAAUCGAUCGUCAAAUUUGGGUAUAGGGGCGAAAGACUAAUCGAACCAUCUAGUAGCUGGUUCCUGCCGA